rnacentral:rRNA from 1 species
UACGUAGGGUGCAAGCGUUGUUCGGAUUUACUGGGCGUAAAGGGCGCGUAGGCGGCAAUUCAAGUCAUCUGUGAAAUCUCCGGGCUUAACUCGGAACGGUCAGAUGAUACUGCUUUGCUAGAGUGCGGAAGGGGCAAUCGGAAUUCUCGGUGUAGCGGUGAAAUGCGUAGAUAUCGAGAGGAACACCUGCGGCGAAGGCGGGUUGCUGGGCUGAUACUGACGCUGAGGCGCGAAAGCCAGGGGAGCGAACGGG